rnacentral:rRNA from 1 species
GACGAACGCUGGCGGCGUGCCUAAUACAUGCAAGUCGAGCGAAGCGGCGGCUGGGUGAGUAACGCGUGGGUAACCUGCCCUUAAGUCUGGGAUACCAUUUGGAAACAGAUGCUAAUACCGGAUACUAAAGGAUGGACCUGCGAUGCAUUAGCUAGUUGGUAAGGUAACGGCUUACCAAGGCGAUGAUGCAUAGGCGACAUGGGAGACUGAUCAGCCACAUUGGGACUGAGAGACGGCGCAGACGCCUACGGGAGGCAGCAGGAGUGAAUCUUCCACAAUGGACGAAAGUCUGAGGAGGCAACGCCGCGGUCGGGAUGACGGCCUUCGAGUUGUAAACCGCUUUCAGCCAUGACGCGGUAGUGGCAGAAGAAGCACCGGCUAACUACGUGCCAGCAGCCGCGGUAAUAC